UACGUAGGGUGCAAGCGUUGUCCGGAAUUACUGGGCGUAAAGCGUGCGUAGGUGGUUUGUUAAGUCUGUUGUGAAAGCCCCCGGGCUCAACCUGGGAAUGGCAAUGGAUACUGGCAAGCUAGAGUGCGGUAGAGGGUAGUGGAAUUCCCGGUGUAGCGGUGAAAUGCGUAGAGAUCGGGAGGAACACCAGUGGCGAAGGCGGCUACCUGGACCAGCACUGACACUGAGGCACGAAAGCGUGGGGGAGCAAACAGG
rnacentral:rRNA from 1 species